rnacentral:rRNA from 1 species
UACGGGGGGAGCAAGCGUUGUUCGGAUUUACUGGGCGUAAAGGGCGCGUAGGCGGUCGUGACAAGUCACUUGUGAAAUCUCCGGGCUUAACUCGGAACGGUCAAGUGAUACUGUCGGACUAGAGUACAGAAGGGGCAACUGGAAUUCUCGGUGUAGCGGUGAAAUGCGUAGAUAUCGAGAGGAACACCUGCGGCGAAGGCGGGUUGCUGGGCUGACACUGACGCUGAGGCGCGAAAGCUAGGGUAGCAAACGGG